rnacentral:rRNA from 1 species
GACGGAGGAUGCAAGCGUUAUCCGGAAUGAUUGGGCGUAAGCGUCCGCAGGUGGCAGUUCAAGUCUGCUGUCAAAGACCGGGGCUUAACUUCGGAAAGGCAGUGGAAACUGAACAGCUAGAGUAUGGUAGGGGCAGAGGGAAUUCCUGGUGUAGCGGUGAAAUGCGUAGAGAUCAGGAAGAACAUCGGUGGCGAAGGCGCUCUGCUGGACCAUAACUGACACUCAGGGACGAAAGCUAGGGGAGCGAAUGGG